rnacentral:rRNA from 1 species
ACGGGGGGUGCAAGCGUUGUUCGGAAUUAUUGGGCGUAAAGAGCGUGUAGGCGGCUGAAUAAGUCAGAUGUGAAAUCCCUGGGCUUAACCCAGGAAGUGCAUUUGAAACUAUUCAGCUUGAGUAGGGGAGAGGAAAGUGGAAUUCCUGGUGUAGAGGUGAAAGUCGAAGUUAUCAGGAGGAACACCGGUGGCGAAGGCGACUUUCUUGCUCUAUACGGACGCUGAGUCUCGGGAUCGUGGGUAGCAAACAU